UCGAGCGACAGAGAAGUGCUUGCACUUUCAAAGUUAGCGGCGGACGGGUGAGUAACACGUAAGGAACCUACCGAUAAGCGGGGGACAACAUCCGGAAACGGGUGCUAAUACCGCAUAGGAAGUUUAUUCGCAUGAACAAACUUAGAAAGAUGGCUCUGCUAUCACUUAUCGAUGGCCUUGCGGUGCAUUAACUAGUUGGCGAGGUAACGGCUCACCAAGGUGAUGAUGCAUAGCCGACCUGAGAGGGUAAUCGGCCACAUUGGGACUGAGACACGGCCCAAACUCCUACGGGAGGCAGCAGUAGGGAAUCUUCCGCAAUGGACGCAAGUCUGACGGAGCAACGCCGCGUGAGUGAGGAAGGUUUUCGGAUCGUAAAACUCUGUUGUAAGAGAAGAACAAAUUGUAGAGUAACUGCUACAGUCUUGACGGUAUCUUACCAGAAAGCCACGGCUAACUACGUGCCAGCAGCCGCGGUAAUACGUAGGUGGCAAGCGUUGUCCGGAUUUAUUGGGCGUAAAGGGGGCGCAGGCUGCUUCUUAAGUCUGAUGUGAAAGCCCACGGCUUAACCGUGGAAGUGCAUUGGAAACUGGGAAGCUUGAGUACAGAAGAGGAAAGUGGAACUCCAUGUGUAGCGGUGGAAUGCGUAGAUAUAUGGAAGAACACCAGUGGCGAAAGCGACUUUCUGGUCUGUCACUGAC
rnacentral:rRNA from 1 species